AGUGCAGAUUGCUUUCUCUAUUCAAUUGAUUUUGUUGUCUAUGUAUUACCUGAACUCCAAGGGAACCAACUUACAUGGCGUAAUGGAUGGAGGUGUUAUUGGGGCGUAUUUUUUCAUGGUUGGAAACAAGAUGUUGCUGCUGUUGGAGCUCACAGAGAAUGGUGUUAUGAUAGUCUACUUACUUCUGAAGGUGCAUUAGAAGAUAAGUGGGAGUCCAGAUUCUUUGGCCUCAGAAAAGUGGUGAUAAAAAUCUUGAAGUAUUGUUAGCAUUUUCCUCUAAAAAUGGAAAGAGAACAUACAAAGAAGGAAUUAUCGAUGACUACUUUGAUGGGUACUUUUCUGAAGAAAUGAUUGUCCCAGCGUGGAGCUAGCCGUCGCCACAUAUACCCGUUGCCUCCGCUUGACGUAGUUCGCUAUGGACAUAGACAUGGGAAAGUCGCGACGGAGAUCCCCCACUUCAACCCACGGAUCCAGGGUGGCUGUGGCGGUCAGCUGGUGACCGAGCUCAAAAUCUGGUUCAGCGUCAAUGGUUGGCUGCGCUCCAGUGCGAGGGGUGGUGGCGCUUCGAGGAGACAGCUGCGUGCCUUCAUCAGUUGCUUUGUGUACUACUUUUCACUUUCAGAAUAAAUUCGUGAUUCCAUAGUGAGUCAUUACCAACGAAAUUAUGGGGGGUUUUGCUCUAGGCAUCAGAUCAGGAAGCACAAGCCCCGUCUCUUUGGUGGUCUCUUUGGUGCUCCAGUAGUGGAUAUUGCUGGAAUAGCUGAAGGACUUGGUUGUAACACUUGCUCUGACCUUUACUCAC